UACGUAGGCAGCAAGCGUUGUUCGGAAUUACUGGGCGUAAAGAGUGUGUAGGCGGUGCUCUAAGUUCGUUGUGAAAUCUCCCGGCUUAACUGGGAGGGUGCGGCGGAAACUGGAGUGCUUGAGCGCGGGAGAGGAAAGCGGAAUUCCUGGUGUAGCGGUGAAAUGCGUAGAUAUCAGGAGGAACACCUGUGGUGUAGACGGCUUUCUGGACCGUAACUGACGCUGAGACACGAAAGCGUGGGUAGCAAACAGG
rnacentral:rRNA from 1 species